rnacentral:lncRNA from 1 species
AUGCUCAAGAGGCUUGGCCAAGAUGAAGCAUCAUCAGUUGGCUUUCUGCUCACUGGCCAUCUGACUUCAUACUGCUGGUGUUCUGUUGAGGGAAGGAGAGAAAACAUUCACUUGGGGAGCAUCUCACUUGGAGCAAAGGCAACAACUAAUUACAACACAUGUAGAUACCUAAGAGAGGAAAUACGAUGUGGAAAAUGUGGCUUUCUUCAAAGACACCAGGAAGAUUAGUGUCAUGUCUGAAGCACCCAUUUGUGUCAAUGGAUACAAGAUCUGGAGCACACCUCUGAUUGACACAGGAAGACUCAGCUGCUGAGGGUGGCUCCACUCUGUACACGUGAUGCUGGACCUUCAUAUUCGGAGGAUCAGGGCAGAAUCUGCCCCUGAUUGUGGAUGUGACCUGACCAGCUACUUCUGGCUCCUGCUGUCUUGACAUCCUGAAUGGACUGUGUAUCCUUCAACAGUAGCAGUGAACAAAACUAAACUCCUCCUCCCUUUGAGUUGAUUUUGUCAAGCUAUUUUAACACAUCAGGAAAUGAAACUAAGACAUCAAAGGUUGGGUUUUUUUUUUCUCGUAGUUAUUGAGUACUUCUGUGCAUAAGUGCUUCUAUGCUCUGUUAACACCAACAAGAGAGCACUGACUUCAAAUCCUUU